AGAGUUUGAUCGUGGCUCAGGACGAACGCUGGCGGCGUGCCUAAUACAUGCAAGUUGAGCGCUGAAGGUUGGUACUUGUACCGACUGGAUGAGCAGCGAACGGGUGAGUAACGCGUGGGGAAUCUGCCUUUGAGCGGGGGACAACAUUUGGAAACGAAUGCUAAUACCGCAUAAAAACUUUAAACACAAGUUUUAAGUUUGAAAGAUGCAAUUGCAUCACUCAAAGAUGAUCCCGCGUUGUAUUAGCUAGUUGGUGAGGUAAAGGCUCACCAAGGCGAUGAUACAUAGCCGACCUGAGAGGGUGAUCGGCCACAUUGGGACUGAGACACGGCCCAAACUCCUACGGGAGGCAGCAGUAGGGAAUCUUCGGCAAUGGACGAAAGUCUGACCGAGCAACGUCGCGUGAGUGAAGAAGGUUUUCGGAUCGUAAAACUCUGUUGGUAGAGAAGAACGUUGGUGAGAGUGGAAAGCUCAUCAAGUGACGGUAACUACCCAGAAAGGGACGGCUAACUACGUGCCAGCGGCCGCGGUAAUACGUAGGUCCCGAGCGUUGUCCGGAUUUAUUGGGCGUAAAGCGAGCGCAGGUGGUUUAUUAAGUCUGGUGUAAAAGGCAGUGGCUCAACCAUUGUAUGCAUUGGAAACUGGUAGACUUGAGUGCAGGAGAGGAGAGUGGAAUUCCAUGUGUAGCGGUGAAAUGCGUAGAUAUAUGGAGGAACACCGGUGGCGAAAGCGGCUCUCUGGCCUGUAACUGACACUGAGGCUCGAAAGCGUGGGGAGCAAACAGGAUUAGAUACCCUGGUAGUCCACGCCGUAAACGAUGAGUGCUAGAUGUAGGGAGCUAUAAGUUCUCUGUAUCGCAGCUAACGCAAUAAGCACUCCGCCUGGGGAGUACGACCGCAAGGUUGAAACUCAAAGGAAUUGACGGGGGCCCGCACAAGCGGUGGAGCAUGUGGUUUAAUUCGAAGUAACGCGAAGAACCUUACCAGGUCUUGACAUACUCGUGCUAUUCCUAGAGAUAGGAAGUUCCUUCGGGACACGGGAUACAGGUGGUGCAUGGUUGUCGUCAGCUCGUGUCGUGAGAUGUUGGGUUAAGUCCCGCAACGAGCGCAACCCCUAUUGUUAGUUGCCAUCAUUAAGUUGGGCACUCUAACGAGACUGCCGGUGAUAAACCGGAGGAAGGUGGGGAUGACGUUAAAUCAUCAUGCCCCUUAUGACCUGGGCUACACACGUGCUACAAUGGAUGGUACAACGAGUCGCGAGACAGUGAUGUUUAGCUAAUCUCUUAAAACCAUUCUCAGUUCGGAUUGUAGGCUGCAACUCGCCUACAUGAAGUCGGAAUCGCUAGUAAUCGCGGAUCAGCACGCCGCGGUGAAUACGUUCCCGGGCCUUGUACACACCGCCCGUCACACCACGGGAGUUGGGAGUACCCGAAGUAGGUUGCCUAACCGCAAGGAGGGCGCUUCCUAAGGUAAGACCGAUGACUGGGGUGAAGUCGUAACAAGGUACCCGU
rnacentral:rRNA from 1 species